GCUGGGCAUGGUGGCGAGUGCCUGUAAUCCCAGUUACUCAGGAGGCUGAGGCAGGAGAAUCGCUUGAACUCAGGAGGUGGAGCUUGCAGGGAGUCGAGAUUGUACCACUGCACUCCAGCCUGGGUGACAGAGCGAGACUCCGUCUCAA
ensembl:misc_RNA Metazoa_SRP Metazoan signal recognition particle RNA